UGGAUAGUGAAGAUAAACUGAUGCAUAAUCCAGCACUUGAUCUGAGGCCGGCUUUUGUCGAGCGACUGAUGCACAGACAUAUCUGUAUGAGUCCUU
rnacentral:snoRNA from 1 species